rnacentral:rRNA from 1 species
GAUGAACGCUGGCGGCGUGCCUAAUACAUGCAAGUCGAGCGAACAGACGAGGAGCUUGCUCCUCUGACGUUAGCGGCGGACGGGUGAGUAACACGUGGAUAACCUACCUAUAAGACUGGGAUAACUUCGGGAAACCGGAGCUAAUACCGGAUAAUAUAUUGAACCGCAUGGUUCAAUAGUGAAAGACGGUUUUGCUGUCACUUAUAGAUGGAUCCGCGCCGCAUUAGCUAGUUGGUAAGGGAACGGCUUACCAAGGCAACGAUGCGUAGCCGACCUGAGAGGGUGAUCGGCCACACUGGAACUGAGACACGGUACAGACUCCUACGGGAGGCAGCAGUAGGGAAUCUUCCGCAAUGGGCGAAAGCCUGACGGAGCAACGCCGCGUGAGUGAUGAAGGUCUUCGGAUCGUAAAACUCUGUUAUUAGGGAAGAACAAAUGUGUAAGUAACUAUGCACGUCUUGACGGUACCUAAUCAGAAAGCCACGGCUAACUACGUG